GAUGAACGCUAGCUACAGGCUUAACACAUGCAAGUCGAGGGGCAGCAUGGUCUUAGCUUGCUAAGGCCGAUGGCGACCGGCGCACGGGUGAGUAACACGUAUCCAACCUGCCGUCUACUCUUGGACAGCCUUCUGAAAGGAAGAUUAAUACAAGAUGGCAUCAUGAGUCCACAUGUUCACAUGAUUAAAGGUAUUCCGGUAGACGAUGGGGAUGCGUUCCAUUAGAUAGUAGGCGGGGUAACGGCCCACCUAGUCUUCGAUGGAUAGGGGUUCUGAGAGGAAGGUCCCCCACAUUGGAACUGAGACACGGUCCAAACUCCUACGGGAGGCAGCAGUGAGGAAUAUUGGUCAAUGGGCGAGAGCCUGAACCAGCCAAGUAGCGUGAAGGAUGACUGCCCUAUGGGUUGUAAACUUCUUUUAUAAAGGAAUAAAGUCGGGUAUGCAUACCCGUUUGCAUGUACUUUAUGAAUAAGGAUCGGCUAACUCCGUGCCAGCAGCCGCGGUAAUACGGAGGAUCCGAGCGUUAUCCGGAUUUAUUGGGUUUAAAGGGAGCGUAGAUGGAUGUUUAAGUCAGUUGUGAAAGUUUGCGGCUCAACCGUAAAAUUGCAGUUGAUACUGGAUAUCUUGAGUGCAGUUGAGGCAGGCGGAAUUCGUGGUGUAGCGGUGAAAUGCUUAGAUAUCACGAAGAACUCCGAUUGCGAAGGCAGCCUGCUAAGCUGCAACUGACAUUGAGGCUCGAAAGUGUGGGUAUCAAACAGGAUUAGAUACCCUGGUAGUCCACACGGUAAACGAUGAAUACUCGCUGUUUGCGAUAUACAGCAAGCGGCCAAGCGAAAGCGUUAAGUAUUCCACCUGGGGAGUACGCCGGCAACGGUGAAACUCAAAGGAAUUGACGGGGGCCCGCACAAGCGGAGGAACAUGUGGUUUAAUUCGAUGAUACGCGAGGAACCUUACCCGGGCUUAAAUUGCAGAUGAAUUACGGUGAAAGCCGUAAGCCGCAAGGCAUCUGUGAAGGUGCUGCAUGGUUGUCGUCAGCUCGUGCCGUGAGGUGUCGGCUUAAGUGCCAUAACGAGCGCAACCCUUGUUGUCAGUUACUAACAGGUUCUGCUGAGGACUCUGACAAGACUGCCAUCGUAAGAUGUGAGGAAGGUGGGGAUGACGUCAAAUCAGCACGGCCCUUACGUCCGGGGCUACACACGUGUUACAAUGGGGGGGUACAGAGGGCCGCUACCACGCGAGUGGAUGCCAAUCCCAAAAACCUCUCUCAGUUCGGACUGGAGUCUGCAACCCGACUCCACGAAGCUGGAUUCGCUAGUAAUCGCGCAUCAGCCACGGCGCGGUGAAUAUGUUCCCGGGCCUUGUACACACCGCCCGUCAAGCCAUGGGAGCCGGGGGUACCUGAAGUGCGUAACCGCGAGGAGCGCCCUAGGGUAAAACUGGUGACUGGGGCU
rnacentral:rRNA from 1 species